GGUGGCUCAGUGGUAGAGCGCUUGCCUUAUAUGCAUGAGGGCCUGGGUUCGAUUCCUUAGCACCA
rfam:Dipodomys ordii ctg_broad_rename0014856, whole genome shotgun sequence.